rnacentral:rRNA from 1 species
UACGUAGGGUGCAAGCGUUGUCCGGAAUUAUUGGGCGUAAAGAGCUCGUAGGCGGUUUGUCGCGUCUGCUGUGAAAUCUCGGGGCUUAACUCCGAAACUGCAUUCGAUACUGCCGUGCUUGAGGACUGGAGAGGAGACUGGAAUUUACGGUGUAGCGGUGAAAUGCGUAGAUAUCGUAAGGAAGACCAGUGGCGAAGGCGGGUCUCUGGACAGUUCCUGACGCUGAGGCACGAAGGCCAGGGGAGCAAACGGG